UACGUAACCCACAAGUGGUGUCCACUAAUAUUGGGCCUAAAACGUCUGUAGCCGGUUUUGUUGGUCUUUGGUGAAAUCAGCCUGCUCAACAGAUUGAAUUGCCAAAGAUACCGCAAAGCUCGAGGCCGGGAGAGGUAAAGGGAAUUCCAGGAGUAGCGGUGAAAUGUUAUGAUCCCUGGAAGACCACCAGUAGCGAAGGCGCUUUACCAGAACGGACCUGACGGUGAGAGACGAAAGCUGGGGGAGCGACCAGGAUUAGAUACCCUCGUA
rnacentral:rRNA from 1 species